rnacentral:rRNA from 1 species
UUAGAGUUUGAUCCUGGCUCAGGACGAACGCUGGCGGCGUGCCUAAUACAUGCAAGUCGAGCGGACAGAUGGGAGCUUGCUCCCUGAUGUUAGCGGCGGACGGGUGAGUAACACGUGGGUAACCUGCCUGUAAGACUGGGAUAACUCCGGGAAACCGGGGCUAAUACCGGAUGCUUGAUUGAACCGCAUGGUUCAAUUAUAAAAGGUGGCUUUUAGCUACCACUUACAGAUGGACCCGCGGCGCAUUAGCUAGUUGGUGAGGUAACGGCUCACCAAGGCAACGAUGCGUAGCCGACCUGAGAGGGUGAUCGGCCACACUGGGACUGAGACACGGCCCAGACUCCUACGGGAGGCAGCAGUAGGGAAUCUUCCGCAAUGGACGAAAGUCUGACGGAGCAACGCCGCGUGAGUGAUGAAGGUUUUCGGAUCGUAAAACUCUGUUGUUAGGGAAGAACAAGUACCGUUCGAAUAGGGCGGUACCUUGACGGUACCUAACCAGAAAGCCACGGCUAACUACGUGCCAGCAGCUGCGGUAAUACGUAGGUGGCAAGCGUUGUCCGGAAUUAUUGGGCGUAAAGCGCGCGCAGGCGGUUUCUUAAGUCUGAUGUGAAAGCCCCCGGCUCAACCGGGGAGGGUCAUUGGAAACUGGGGAACUUGAGUGCAGAAGAGGAGAGUGGAAUUCCACGUGUAGCGGUGAAAUGCGUAGAGAUGUGGAGGAACACCAGUGGCGAAGGCGACUCUCUGGUCUGUAACUGACGCUGAGGCGCGAAAGCGUGGGGAGCGAACAGGAUUAGAUACCCUGGUAGUCCACGCCGUAAACGAUGAGUGCUAAGUGUUAGAGGGUUUCCGCCCUUUAGUGCUGCAGCAAACGCAUUAAGCACUCCGCCUGGGGAGUACGGUCGCAAGACUGAAACUCAAAGGAAUUGACG